UUAAGUUCAGCGGGUAGUCCUACCUGAUCCGAGGUCAACCUUGUAAAAAGUGCAGCGCGCGGGGCGCGCGUGCGGUUUUGACGGCAGGGCGCCGGCGGGGCCCACGAGCGAGGGGAGAACGGUGCGUUCGGUACUGCGCUCGGAGCCAACCAGCCAGGCCCGCCACUCGCUUUCAGGGCCCUCCGCCAGGCGGAGGAGCC
rnacentral:misc_RNA from 1 species